rfam:Geobacillus sp. B4113_201601 NODE_525, whole genome shotgun sequence.
CUCCCUUUUAAGCGCAGUCCCGCGAGGCUGCCAAAGGGGCGGAAUGGUUUCGGCUGUUUCUGCACCCUCUUUGUGCCUGCGCGGGCCAAAGAGGUUUUUUU